rnacentral:misc_RNA from 1 species
GGCGAAAAUUGGUGUAAAUGAAUUAGUUGAUUCCUUAUUUUAUCAGGUCACCGUCCCGUAACAUCUGCGGACUAGACAAAACAAACUGCAUAUUCUCUAAAAUAUUUUUGCUCUUAGCCCAUAUGGUUUUCAAUAAAAAAAUAACAGAACCACAUGGGCAUACUCUGUUUACAAAGAAAAAUAAUAGCUUAGGAAAGCCCAAGCUUAUCUUAGUUCAAAACCCUCUUUUUUUUUUUUUUUACCAUUCACAAACUCUACAAAUGUAAUAAUAGGACAAACUACGAUAUACAAUUUUACAAGUUAUACCAGAUCUUGAGAAUUUCCCUUCAUGCUCAGAUGAGUGUACAAUUGGCUCCAAAACAAAGGCAGGAAACACCAUGUUCAAAGUUGUAGCUGCCCUGGGCCUCUCCUAGAUGAUCUUGAAGGAGGCCUAUCCAUCUCUGCUGCAGGAGUCUGCUGUAGGGGGUCUUCUGGUCUUUGUGCUUCCUUCAGCGAAGUAGAAUUGUUACGUGACUGUGCCUGCGACUUGGCAUGCAUGCGAUGCUGAGACUGCAUUUGCUCAAACUGUUGAAGCCUUGAACCAAAAUUAAUUCCAUUAUGCAAACAAGAAUUCCCAACCUCCUGGUUUACAUCACCAUCCUCAGAUAUUUGUGAUCCACUAGGAAUGUGAUGUAGAAUUUGGGAGUAGGGGUUGCCUGAAGAUGUUCGCUUAAUUUGCUCACCAUUGAAGGAAUAUGAAGGGACAGUUUUUAAACGAGUCCGUAAUAUCUUAAAAGCAGCACUUUGCUGUAUCAAAGAAUCAAAUAAAAUCGCAUAUAAAAACCCACAUGCUAAUAGAAGGAACUACUAAUUAGCAAGUACCAAUGCAGUACAAGCUGAAAUAAAAAAUAAGAAGUCCAAAAUUCACUCCUUUUAAUUUCUUUAAUUUUGAAAGCAUUUGCAUCUUGUAUAAAUUCUUCAUUUUUGUUUUAUACUUCUAUUUCUUUCCAACUGUAUUUCCAUCCCUUCAGAUAGUAAAUCAUUGAUAAGAAAGAGAAUCUCUCUCCUAUGUUUAAAAUGCAUAACCAGAAACAAAAUUCAACAAAAAGCUCGUUAGCAAAUCCUCAUCCUCUCAGCCACACACAUCUAUGCAUAAACGUAACACAAAUGAGGCAUUAGCACAUCCACAUUUUAAUAUACCUCUGCUCAUUACAGCGACAGAAUGAAAUUUGAACACAAGUAAUUUGCAAUGUCAGAUAUACCUGGGGUAGUAACAUCAAGAGACCAUUCAAAGCUUUUAACAACCAUGUGUAUCUUCCGGGUUCAAGAAGCUGCAAAAACCCAAAAAUAGCUAUGAUACUCAACAAAAUAUUUCCACUGAAUAAGGCAGGCAAAUGCAUGAAUAGUGAAAUAGCAAACGAUCACAAUCAAAGAAAAGUUGAAUGGCAUUCAUCAGAAAAAAAACAUAGAUCAUUUCUGUAAUUGUAUGAUAAGAAGCCAGCUACUAUUCAGUCCAGGAACUACAUCACUCUUAACUGUUGAGGUACCACUGUAUCCCCUGUAAUAUGUAUAGGGACUACAUUCCAAAUCUAAUGUAAACAACACAGUAAAUAUUCAUUUAUUGACAAAACCUCCACCACAGUGGCUAUGCUUGGGUAUCAACAUCCCAUAAAAAAUGAGCAUCUGAAACCUCCACGAAAGCAAUCUUGCAAGGACUAGCCAAAAAGAAACACGGAGAAAUAUGAUGACAAACAUAAGAGUCCAACUAGCAGACUAACUUUCCAAUUCAGGACACUGGUCAGAGGAUGCACAUACAAGAACUGAUUAUCAAAAUAAGAAAGAAAUGAAACAACACAAAAAAUUUCUAUAUCCUUACAAAGCAUAUCAAAUGUAAGCACAAUACCUUAGCAGGUAGAAAGGUAAAUUCUAACAGUUCCAAUUAUGCACCUGCAAUCUAAGGUAGGCAAAGAUGGGAGUUUCUAGCAAGCGAAUCAAUUUAUCCAGUUGGACCAAGAAUUUGACAUUGAUAUCUUCCUCUACCAGUGACUGAAUCACCACACUUGCAUGCUGGUAUGUCUGUGCUAAUAGGCAAAGGCUUAUAAUUGCCAUAGGUGAAUGGCACCACGAAGCGUAUAAAGAAACAAAUAAAUCUUUUCCAGCCGGAUUUACUAGUGAUUGUUUUAAAAGACCCCGAAGCUCAGCUAGUUCAGAGGAAGUUAGUAAGAUCAAAUUCAAAGCCUGAACCAUAAUUGAUGCAAAAUCCAGAUCAGCUUCACCCUCCAGUAUUGUGGAGAGUUCCCGAUAGACCCUUUCAGCAUCUAAAAGUACACAGAGUCUUCGGAUUAUCAAAGCACCACGCUUCUCCAGAAGAGAAUUGUCAACACGAAAAUUAUGCACCAAGAAAACAACAAGUUGACGGAAAUGUUGUGGAUCUUUUGCUAUGCAUGCAUGAACCUCAAGAACAAGGAGGACCACCUGGAAAGAUGUUCAGAGUUGCACCAUAUUAAAUAAAUGAGAGACAACUACAAGUUACUUUUUGGGUCAACAAUACAAAAAUGUAAAUUUGUAUAUAAAGCACUGAUAGUGAGAAUAUGAACUCAGUAAGAUAUAAGAUUUCUUGAAUUCAUCAUUGGGAAAGGAAAGAGCUGUUACAAAGUAGGAAAAAGCAAUUAGAAGCAGCUUUCCUUUACAGCAGAAAAGAAACGAGGAAAAAAAGGUUGAACUACAGAAUGCUAUGACCCAAAAUUCCUUUUCUUUUCAUAUUAAUGACUUCUUAACUUACACUUUUACCAUAAAAAAACAAGUACACAACUUUCUUUUACAGAGUUUUGACAAAGCCUAAUAAUCAAGAAAUAUUAAUGACCGAUAUGAUCCAUAGUAAUAUUAUAGACUAAUAAUCUAAUGAUUUAUGAGAAUUAAUCUAUUGAAUUUUAGAUGAACAAAAAGUUCAAUGCACGUUUACCACCCCAUAGUUUGGUGUAUUUCAUCUUUGCUAUUCCGUGAUUCAUUUCAAAUACUUUGCUCCCAGGUGAUUUAAAGAAGAUAUGAAAUUCAAAACAAGUAGAAAAUGAAACUCAGAAAUAGAUGACCAAAUCAUUGGAUUUUCAAAUUUCACACUAUGCAAGGAAAUUUGUUUCUAGUUCCAUUUACUAUUGUUCUGGUGUUCACACUAACCAAUGAAAGAUGAAAGCAGGAUCAAUAGUACAUGAUUACCUCAUCUGAAGGAUCUGAAAGUGCUUUGAGAAGGGUAUCAAAUACAUCAUUCAGAAACUGUAAUACCUCAGAUCGAUGCCUGUUUAAAAGUGUUGAUAUCCAGUGCAACGCUUCAAUCCGAGUGGCCUCCCACUCACUAGAUAAUUGACUGAAACGUUGAAAAGAUCAACAACCAAUAUCAGAUUAUUUUAAACAUUAAACAAUUGAGCAAAAACAACAUUAUGACUAGCUUAAACAAGGAACCAUAGUCGGCACUUUCAAAUCAUGAUGCAUAAGGGCUACGUAGGAACUCAAAAGGCAAGUUGCUAACAACAUUUUAAACCUAAUUCCACCCUUUCCUUUUAAUCCCAGGUUACAAAAACUACACCUUCUUGCAAUGGAGAGUAUUGCUCCAACAUCAAAUCCUUCAGCAGGAUCAGCCUUGAUUGCACGAAGCUCCUCAUUGGUUUCGCGAGCAACCACUCUAAUUUUCUCUUCUUUGUCUGAUAUACAGGGCAGAAUGGCUCCCAGUAUAUCAGCAUAGUAAGGAAUUAGUUGGUCUCCACCAAGUUUUACAAAUUCAUUUAUCCAUGUGAUAGCUGUUAACCGAGUAAAUUCAUCUGGAGAAGCUGCCCUUUGCACCAAUAUCUCAGCCAUACGACCAUAAUCUACAGAUGGGGAAUUCUUGAUCUCUUGGAGAAACUCUGAAAGGGCAGAAUCAGCUUGUUGUCUGAUUUCAUGGCUAGAAUCACUCAACAUAUUAAAUAGACCAUCAAGAAAAUCAGGAAGAAAACCCAGCAUAUCUAUAUCUGGAACACUGUCCAACACGGUGAUCCAUCCAACCAAAAAUUGGCGGACAUAGGCGUUUAGGACAUUCAUACGUUCUCUCAACAAUGGUAUAAAUUCUUCAAUGCUGAAUUGAUCACUUUCAGUAACAAUGUCCUUCACAAGCCGAUCCAAAAGAUGAGCAGCACUUUGUACAUUGGCAUCUGAGUCUGCCGAAAGUUUACACAAGGCAUCAAAAAUUUGGUUAAAGAAUACAAUAAAAUCUCCUCUCACCACCUUUGCGAUAUUAUAUAAGGCUUCACAAGCAUAAUAACGAACUCUGCUAUCUUGGUCAGAAAAAGAAUUAAGCACAGGCGGCACGAUUUGCUCAAGAUGUUGGGCUGCUUCUGUAGUCAACCCUACAGUUGCAGCAGCUAGUCCUAUCAAUCCACCCUUGCGGUGGUUGGCUUGAGGCGAGUAGGUGAAAUCCGUCGUCAACAAAUUGAUCACUGCAGAUAUCUUGUCAUGAUCCCCAGCAGCCGCCAGCUGCUUCACGAUACCUUCAACCUCGAGAGCAGCAUUCUUGCGCUUCUCAUAAAGCUUGUCGGAGAGAUUACGAAGAACGGAGAACGGAACCACGGAAAGCGCGUCAGCCAUGUCCGGAGAAACAACAAAACCCUGAGAAUCAACUUCACUUAGAUGUGAAUUCCUGGAAGGGAACGGAAAUCAAAUUCGUUUCCUGAUCUUCUCCUGUUCGAAUCUAAACAUUUUGGUUCACUUCCUCUUCUCUUAGGUGCACAGCUCGGAGAGAUCAGAAGAAGAAAAGAAGAAAUGAAGGAGGGAAAUCAGAUCUGAAAAAAAAGAGGGAGAGAAAUCGCCAGUGAUGAAAAUAUGACCUAAUUUUAAGAGGGAGGAUUCGUUCGUUUGUUCCGUUUUUUUUUUUUUUUUUUUUUU